GACGAACGCUGGCGGCGUGCUUAACACAUGCAAGUCGAACGGAAAGGCCCUGCUUUUGUGGGGUGCUCGAGUGGCGAACGGGUGAGUAACACGUGAGUAACCUGCCCUUGACUUUGGGAUAACUUCAGGAAACUGGGGCUAAUACCGGAUAGGAGCUCCUGCUGCAUGGUGGGGGUUGGAAAGUUUCGGCGGUUGGGGAUGGACUCGCGGCUUAUCAGCUUGUUGGUGGGGUAGUGGCUUACCAAGGCUUUGACGGGUAGCCGGCCUGAGAGGGUGACCGGCCACAAUGGGACUGAGAUACGGCCCAGACUCCUACGGUAGGCAGCAGUGGGGAAUAUUGCACAAUGGGCGGAAGCCUGAUGCAGCAGCGCCGCGUGCGGGAUGACGGCCUUCGGGUUGUAAACCGCUUUCGCCUGUGACGAAGCGUGAGUGACGGUAAUGGGUAAAGAAGCACCGGCUAACUACGUG
rnacentral:rRNA from 1 species